rnacentral:lncRNA from 1 species
UUCCACUUCCUUUAUUGUGGGAAAGUCAAACAAGGACUUAAAGGAUCACAGCAUCAGAAAAGAGCAGAGAAAAGAUGACUACAGGAAUCUUUUUUCUUCUUCUUCCUGCUGGAGCUCACAUGGGUAACUAUUCCCCUGUAGUGUGAAUGGUACCAUUCACAGAGGGUUGGAUCUUCCUAUAUAUAGGAAUAUUUAAGACAACCCCCACUACAUACGCACAUAAACACACUCACACACACACACACACACACACACACACACACACACACACAAACACGUGUGCCAUUGCACGCAUACACAAACACACAUGCCCAUAGGUCAACUGGAUCCAGACAAUUCUUCAUUAAGGCUCUUCCAGAUGAUUCUCGAUUGUACCAAGUUGACAUUUAAAAGAAACUAACACAAUCUCCCUAGAGGAUAAAACUGAAGCUGCUCACAAUGAAAGCCAGCUUAAUGCCAUGUCCCUUGCUGUUCUCAUUUGCCCCUAGAAUUUUCUACUGCCAUCUUCUAGGAUCACCUCUUGAAUAAAAGACUUGUACUGGUUCCUUAUUUCACAAUUUUCUACUGUUGUCACUCAAACUUAAACACUACUCUCAGCCUCAGCUCCCUCCUUGAUAAAAGGGGCAAAAUACUAACUCCCUUCUUGUCUUACAAAGAUGAAAUGAAGUACUAUCUCUAUAAAUUAACA